UGCCCCAGUAACGGCGAGUGAAGCGGCAACAGCUCAAAUUUGAAAUCUGGCCCCCCGGCCCGAGUUGUAAUUUGCAGAGGAUGCUUUUGGUGAGGCACCUACCGAGUCCCCUGGAAUGGGGCGCCAUAGAGGGUGAGAGCCCCGUAUGGUAGGACGCCGAACCUCUGUAAAGCUCCUUCGACGAGUCGAGUAGUUUGGGAAUGCUGCUCUAAAUGGGAGGUAAAUUUCUUCUAAAGCUAAAUACCGGCCAGAGACCGAUAGCGCACAAGUAGAGUGAUCGAAAGAUGAAAAGCACUUUGAAAAGAGGGUUAAAAAGUACGUGAAAUUGUUGAAAGGGAAGCGCUUGUGACCAGACUUGCGCCGGGCGGAUCAUCCAGCGUUCUCGCUGGUGCACUCCGCCCGGUUCAGGCCAGCAUCGGUUUUCGCCGGGGGACAAAGGCUUCGGGAACGUGGCUCCUUUCGGGGAGUGUUAUAGCCCGUUGCGUAAUACCCCGGCGGGGACCGACGACCGCGCUUCGGCAAGGAUGCUGGCGUAAUGGUCAUCAGCGACCCGUCUUGAAACACGGACCGAGGAGUCAAGCAUUAGUGCGAGUGUUUGGGUGUAAAACCCGCACGCGUAAUGAAAGUGAACGUAGGUGAGAGCUUCGGCGCAUCAUCGACCGAUCCUGAUGUUUUCGGAAGGAUUUGAGUAGGAGCAUUAACGCUUGGACCCGAAAGAUGGUGAACUAUACUUGAAUAGGGUGAAGCCAGAGGAAACUCUGGUGGAGGCUCGCAGCGGUUCUGACGUGCAAAUCGAUCGUCAAAUUUGAGUAUAGGGGCGAAAGACUAAUCGAACCAUCUAGUAGCUGGUUC
rnacentral:rRNA from 1 species